rnacentral:rRNA from 1 species
AUUGAACGCUGGCGGCAGGCCUAACACAUGCAAGUCGAGCGGAUGAAGGGAGCUUGCUCCUGGAUUCAGCGGCGGACGGGUGAGUAAUGCCUAGGAAUCUGCCUGGUAGUGGGGGAUAACGUCCGGAAACGGGCGCUAAUACCGCAUACGUCCUGAGGGAGAAAGUGGGGGAUCUUCGGACCUCACGCUAUCAGAUGAGCCUAGGUCGGAUUAGCUAGUUGGUGGGGUAAAGGCCUACCAAGGCGACGAUCCGUAACUGGUCUGAGAGGAUGAUCAGUCACACUGGAACUGAGACACGGUCCAGACUCCUACGGGAGGCAGCAGUGGGGAAUAUUGGACAAUGGGCGAAAGCCUGAUCCAGCCAUGUCGCGUGUGUGAAGAAGGUCUUCGGAUUGUAAAGCACUUUAGGUUGGGAGGAAGGGCAGUAAGUUAAUACCUUGCUGUUUUGACGUUACCAACAGAAUAAGCACCGGCUAACUUCGUG